AUUGGAUUAAAAACUAUGUGUCCGUUUGUGGUAAUCUUCAACACAUAUGACAAAAGAUUUUUAAAGAUUUUUGCUUCCUUAUACGGGCACUGUGAUGGAAAAUGUUAUACCAAUUUUCGGCCGAUCACGUUCGUGUUGACAAAACGUCGAUUGCUUCAACUCGCUAAUCUGACUGGGCGAGUCAGGCGACCAAGUCAUAAAUUCGCUUCGUUUUUUUUUCUCUGCUGCUGGUGUUGUCAAGUUUUGUCCCCAUCAUGCUUUGAGGCAUGUGAGUCGCCAAAGUAAACGCCUACCCGGUGUCUUGUUAGUUAUUGUAGACCAUAUUGUAUUGAGUUGUUUUCUUAGUGAAAAACUCGAAAUGUUUGUGACUGUAGUCCGUUUGUAAUCUGCAUUAAACAUCGCGAUAUAAAUUGUAUAUACACUACAUUUUACUCAACAAUAAACAGUAAACAUUCCAAACUUAAUUAACCUAUUCUUUGACUAGUUAUAAAAGCAUGCUGUGAUAAUCAGUUAUGUAUCAUACCAAAACACCGAACAAAGCCAAGGAAAUGUAAGGAUUAUUCUUAAGGUAUGAUAAUUCAUUGCCACGCAGACGCGGCCAAAAGAGUGUCUAAGUUUAUAGACUACAGUUUUGUAUAGUUUCGGCCGAUAACUUUACACCAAGAUGGCUCUGUCAAGAGGAAUGGCUCACGCCAGCGUUGGAAUUGGCUUCGCGCUCUUGUCACUGACUUUUGGGUGUAUCGCUGCUGGUGCUUUUGCGAUGAGUAAACUUAAUGAAUGGGUCGCGAGCAUUGGACUUUGGGCAAUCUAUGUGAGUCUCAUAAUAUAUUUUGUAUUUCUUCAUUUCAUGUUUAGUAACUUAGGCACUGGAAUUACUGUGAUAGUGACAUACGGCGGAUAGAGGAACCGCAGAUUUGUUGAAAAAGUCUCUUGGGCAACAAAAAUAAUUUUCAGCUACAUUCAAAGACGUGAGCAAUGUUUUCUUUAAAGCGGGAGGGGGGUAAUUUUGUUGAAUUAAAGUACGUUUACACAAAAUUAUUAAUUGGGCCGAUUUAAUGAAACGAUAUAUUUGAAAAAUACGCUGUCAACGUGAUCUGACGACAUCGUCAUGCAACUGGCAAUAUUCAUUGAUAGGGAAUUUAAACUUCACGUUUCCGGGAACGGCAAACGGUAGGUUCGAACGUUCUUGGCAAAAUUUUGAUUGAACGUUUUCGUUUCAUAUUUUCUGUCUUGUGUCGAAAGAAUAAUUAUGUAUUUCAGUUUUAAAACGGCAAGUUCAUUUACUCUUUAUUGCCUGAUACCGUAAAAUUUUUCUUUGCCUGGCGUUUGCCGUAUAACGCGAAGCUUAAACUAUCUAUUAACAUUCGGCAGAACCUGAAAUCAGCCCGAUUAAUCGUUUUGUGCAAACAUAGCUUUAGAUCGUGGGUUUCGACGUGCGAAAAAUAAUUAUCACGCCCAGGAAUCGUAUUGACACAUUCUGUUUGAUGUUUCAACCUAAAACAGGAUCAAUAUAUCGACCUUCAUUGUCAUUGGAAAACGACCACGUCGCACCCUCCCCCAUAACUGAAAAAAGUGUUGAGAUCAAUUUUUUCUCUGGAAUAAAACUCUAGAAUGUUUUAAACGCAAUAUAAUCACGAGAGAUUUGAACAGAACACCAAAGUACUUUUGUGGUGGUCAUUCCAAUAUGGAUUCAUCCUAUAAUUCGUAUAAAUCAUUCCUUAACACGUCAUUGAUUUAAAUCUUUUUUCUACAUUUCACAGUUUUUAAUUCCUGCUAUUGUACUUCUUGUGGCUGGAUUUGGAAGGUAUUUCACCAUGG
rnacentral:lncRNA from 1 species